rnacentral:rRNA from 1 species
AACGAACGCUGGCGGCAGGCCUAACACAUGCAAGUCGAACGCCGUAGCAAUACGGAGUGGCAGACGGGUGAGUAACACGUGGGAACAUACCCUUCGGUUCGGAAUAACUCAGGGAAACUUGAGCUAAUACCGGAUACGUCCGCGAGGAGAAAGAUUCAUCGCCGGAGGAUUGGCCCGCGUCUGAUUAGCUUGUUGGUGAGGUAACGGCUCACCAAGGCGACGAUCAGUAGCUGGCUGAGAGGAUGAUCAGCCGCAUUGGGACUGAGACACGGCCCAAACUCCUACGGGAGGCAGCAGUGGGGAAUAUUGGACAAUGGGCGCAAGCCUGAUCCAGCCAUGCCGCGUGAGUGAUG